GGGACCAAGGUGUUAGCGGCAGCACACCUGGCUCUUAACCAGGCGGGUGAGGGUUCGAGCCCCUCUGGUCCCACC
rnacentral:tRNA from 1 species